AUUGAACGCUGGCGGCAGGCUUAACACAUGCAAGUCGAGCGGAGAUGAGGUGCUUGCACCUUAUCUUAGCGGCGGACGGGUGAGUAAUGCUUAGGAAUCUGCCUAUUAGUGGGGGACAACAUUCCGAAAGGAAUGCUAAUACCGCAUACGUCCUACGGGAGAAAGCAGGGGAUCUUCGGACCUUGCGCCAAUAGAUGAGCCUAAGUCGGAUUAGCUAGUUGGUGGGGUAAGGGCCUACCAAGGCGACGAUCUGUAGCGGGUCUGAGAGGAUGAUCCGCCACACUGGGACUGAGACACGGCCCAGACUCCUACGGGAGGCAGCAGUGGGGAAUAUUGGACAAUGGGGGAAACCCUGAUCCGGCCAUGCCGCGUGUGCGAAGAAGGCCUUAUGGUUGUAAAGCACUUUAAGCGAGGAGGAGGCUACUGAGACUAAUACUCUUGGAUAGUGGACGUUACUCGCAGAAUAAGCACCGGCUAACUCUGUGCCAGCCGCCGCCGUAA
rnacentral:rRNA from 1 species